ensembl:snRNA U6 U6 spliceosomal RNA
GUGCUCACUUCGGCAGCACAUAUACUAAAAUUGGAACGAUACAGAGAAGAUUAGCAUGGCCCCUGCACAAGGAUGAAACUUGUUUUCCAAAGUCUACUUGUGUCUUA